UUUUUCUUUCUUUUUAGGGCCGCACCUGCAACGUAUGGAAUUUCCCAGGCUAGGGGUCAAAUCGGAGCUGCAACCGCCCGCCUAUGCCACAGCCACAGCCAUGCAGGAUCCGAGCCUCGUCUGCAACCUACGCCACAGCUCAUGGCAGCGCCAGAUCCCCGACCCACUAAGCGAGGCCAGGAAUUGAACCUGCAUUCUCAUGGGUACGAGUUGGGUUCGUUUCAGCUGUGAGCCCCUCUCUUGAGUCUGGUCAUGGCCUUGUCCUUCUCUGAUGUUGGGGCUUUUGCCCCAGAAAGAUGGACGUCCCAGGAAGCCCAAAGCUUUCAGACGAGCUGAGCCUUUCUGGUGGGGACAGGGAAAUGGACCACAACGCCUCCCCACUGCUAUGGGGCAGCGAUGUCUGUCCUUUGGUCGGGAGCAUCUGCCCUGGGGCAGAGUCUAGGACAGGGACACAGUCACUGAUGGAAAAAUUGUGGUACAGGAAGGCCAACUGACGGACGGGAGGCUGCCUCGGUUUGGAGGGGAUGGCUGACAUUCACACGCGUGAAGGGAGGUAAAGGAGAGGUUAGAGGGAAACAGUCUCCUGGCUCCCCCUCCCCCCCCACCUUCCUUCCCACCCAGAAAAAGCCCGGUCGUCCACGGAGCCUCCCUGCCAUCCUGCACCCUGGAAGUCCCCACAUGUGUGCCUGCGUCCUUUCGUCUUGUUUGGUUUUGCCUUCUGCUUAUAAUACCCUUUCCCGUGUUGAGCAAUGAAGUCUGCUUAGCCAAAUCCUCCGCAAAUCUUUAACCCUUAGACCAAACACUCCUUCUCCUCCUCCGCCAGGAAGCCCUCUGGGGUGUCUGGUUGCCCCUGUGCGCCACCAUCCCUGGCUGCGGCAGCGCAUUCUGAGCCCGCCGCUGCAGCUGUCUGGCCUCGGCCCCUCACCGGACCAAGGGUGUGUUUCUUUUCAGUGUCACUUGGCCAUGGACCCUUGCCCUCCCAAGCUUUGGGUCAGCCCGAGUCCCAUCGAGGCUAGUUUCAGCCGUGCCAAGAGGAAGGGUGGAAACACGCGUCUCAAUCUCUGGCUGGAAUCCACUGGAAACGUCUUUGCUUCUCUCUGGUCUCAGCUCCCACUGCCCUGGGGGGGGUCAAUUGGCUAUAAUUGCAGCACAAGCCUGUGUGUGUGUGUGUGUGAGUGUGUGUGUGUAUGCGCGCGCACGCGCGAGACAGCGAGGCAGACGGGGACAGAGGCGGGAGGGCGGGAGGGAGGAGCAGGAGCAGGGUCGUGUCAGGCCGCACAUGUUUCUGUUUCGAGGCGAGAGUGAAAUGAUCCUUCUUCUGCAUCCGCGAACGUGCCAAGCAGACCCUCUGCAGGAUGCUAAGCCCACGAGCUGGGACAGGCCAGCCGUUCUGAUUCCAGCAGGAUCCAAUCUCUGUCACCUCCAAAGACAAAUGACAGUGUCCUUGAAGGUUGACGAAUAAUUCCAACCACAACUGCAAAGCAUUGGGGGUAUUUACCAUGCUAAGCACUUUAAGAUUAUAAUAUCUGUAAUUUUUGCAGGAACUAUUUGAGGGAGAUGCCAUGUUAGUCUCGUUUUUUUCAGACGAGGAAUGCAGGGUUCAGAGAGAGUCCAUGCCACAGCAAGCACGGGGUGCAGGUCCAUAGCCAGUCUGUCUGGCCCCCAACCCCAUGCCCACAGACAUCCUGUCAGCCCGGGAGUCCGGACCCCUGGGUACAAGGGCCUGGCUGUCCUGCUGGGUGUCGUAUGUGGGACGUUCAGCGCACCAGGCCCCAGUCACGCCCUCUUGAACGUGGCCCAGAUGCUGCUAAAGGGCCCUGCCGACUGUCAUGGGCUGAGAAGCUGGUUCUGAAUUCUCCGACAGUACGAGGCAAGCACGUUCAUUUCUGCGAUUCCCCGAUGCUGACUACAGACUCUGGGUCCCGGAUCCUGUGAUCUCCUCCAGUUUUCACUAGAACGAGGCUCCAUGAGGACACCCACUCCUGUCCAUAGGAGUCCUGCUCGAUCCCAGGGCCCUACACGCCGGCACCUGGCCUGUGCAAGGGCCUCAGAGUCAGUAUCUGUUAGUUGAAUGACUGACCCACCCCCGGUUCUGCCUCCCCCCACAGUCAGCAGGCAGUGCCCACACCCUGGCUGGAGUCCAGGUCCUAAAAUCGGGCCAGUUGCCCAUAGCGUGACGGACAAGCCCUCGACCAGUAGGUGGGACACUUGCCCUCUAGCCCAGCGUGGCCACUCAUCAUGACUCUGGAGAAGUCGCCUAAUCCCUCCGAGCCUCUCCUUGCCCUGAGAGCUCUGGAAGGUCAUUCCUGCCUCAGGACCUUUGCACGUACCGUUCCUUCCGCCUGAAGUUCUCUUCCCCAUUAUUUGUUGACUGUUGUCUACAUCCCCAGUUCGAAUUUAAGCGCCAAGGGGGUUUUGUUGAUCCGAUGCAGUGCUUAGAGCCAUGCCUGACACAUCGUGAUCAAUAGUGUUUGUCGAGAGAGGGAGAGAGGGAGGGAGAAAAGGCAGAGGCCAAGCUUCAUGGAGUCACGCUGGCCUUGAGACCUCUGCCCAAGUUCAGGUCCGCAGAUGCUGAGCCACUUGGGACAGUUCUCUGCCCAUGGACCAACGCAGCCUGAACUCCCAUGAGGUCCAGGUUGAAAACAUACCCGUUUUCCAUGACAUGUUGCUUGAGAUCUGGUGUCUAUAGCUGGCGCUCCCGCAGCCGGGGAAGAAGGAGGUUCCUAUGCUUGAGAGGCAAGGAAAGGAACCAGGAAUGAGAUGUCUGACCUGGCCUGGCUUCCUGAAACUGCUUUGCUCACUUCUCCCCAUCCUGCCCCAGCCCUUCUCAGCUCCCCAUACGUGUGUCCUCCCUGCCCAGAGGAGUGUGCAGAUCCUCUGCCUGGACUGCAUGGCUUUCCAUGUCCUCGGCCUGCCCAGCUCCCCAGCCUGCGUUCUCCCAGCUCCCCUUCAGGAGGCCUCAGCUGCAGCAGGGCCCAGGAGCUGCUUUCCCCAGUGCACUGGACCAGUCCCCUCCCUGAGCUCUGCGUGUGCCAUACUGCCUGCCUGUAACGCGUGCCACUGCGCCUCCUCCAGCAAGCCCUCCUGGACCACACCAACCCGUGAGACCUCUCCCUCGGCUGGGCCUCCCCAGCUCUCCUGGACCCGCCCACUGCUAGGGGCUGCUUAGGAAUCCAUAUGUAGCUACUCCGUACGUGGCAGGGGCCCCCAGCUUGCAGGAAGCAGGAAUGGGAGAGAGUUUGUCCCCUCGUCUGUCCAUCCUGGCCUGAUCAAAUGGGGUAAUGGGCACAGGUGCCCCUGGAGAACUGUAAAGCCCUGUGGCGCCCUCGCUCCGGCUCCUGUAUCUCUGGCCUUAACUUGUGCAGCAGCGUCUCCGUGGGCCUCCCUGCCUCCGGUUCACCCGGCCCAUCUAGCUUUCCUGCCGAGCUAGACAGGGGUCCUUCUGAAACCCAGAUCUGGUCGGUUCCCUUCUCCAGCGACCCCGUCUUGCCCGGAGGUUCUGGCCCAGCAGGCUUGUCCCUGCUCUCCAAGCCCCCGUGCCCUCCCUCCUCCCUGCCUUCGUUCAAGUCAUUCCUCUGCCCAGAACACCUGUCCUCCUGCCUCCCUCCUCAUUCUCCUAGACACCCCCCCCCUUGGCAUUCUCUGACCCCUCCGGUCACAUCCAGCUCGCUGGGGGCCCUCCCCAGCUGUACCUCAUUCCUCAUUUAUCUGCACCCGUGCCUCCAUGGCCUUCCAACCAGCUUCAGCAGAGAAGGGUUGAAGUAAAGCUUUCUCCUGGAGGGGAGUGCCAGCCACCGAAGAUAUUCCGUGUGCCAAGCCCAGUGCUCUAUACACUCCAGCUUAUGGAGUUCCCACUGUGGCUCAGUGGAUUAGGACCCAUGAGGAUGCGGGUUUGAUCCCUGGCCUGGCUCAGUCGGUUAAGGAUCCGGCAUUGCUGUGAGCUGGGUGUAGGCCAGCAGCUGCAGCUCUGACUUGACCCCUAGCCUGGGAACUUCCAUAGGCCACGGGUGUGGCCCUAAAAAGAAAAAAUAAUAUAAAUAAAUAAAUAAACUCCGUUUUAUUGCGGCCCGGCCAGUCCUAGAAAAAACAAACAAAAAUUUCCUGUCUUUUUCCUAUGGGAGGACUGGGGCCCGGAGAUGCUAAGUGCCUUUCUGGAGGUCACACAGCAGUACGUGACAGAACUGGCACAUGGCCCCUGAUCGGGCUGAUUUCACAGCUUCGCUCCGUGUUGCAGGACCAGGACAGAGGUAAAAAUAACAGAUCUCUUUCCAACAUGUGACCGUUAACGAACUGCCCUGGGGCUCUGCUCGCUGUGUGCUGUCUGGUUCUUCGCGUCUCCCUCGGGGCUUCCCUCUCAGCCUUGACAAGCAGCUGGCUAGGGCGCGAGGGGCCGUGGCCCCCAUCCACCCGCCCGUCCCGCGUCAGGCCUGCAGGUCACGAGGCGCCAGGCUCCAGGUCAAGGGUAGAUCUCGUGCUUCCCUCCAGGACCCUGCAGAGCGCCAGGGCCACCCUGUGCCCACAGUCUGCCCCAGCCUGACAUCAGCCCUGACAUCCAGGCUGAGAUCAAUAAAUCUGUCUCCUGCUCUUCUCUCCCGACCAUCUGUUCUCCCUGGUGGUCCUCGGGGAGUCUGCCAGGCUGGCUGCAACCUCCCAGGGUGCAGAGAAGAAGCUAUUUUGGGGCCAUCUGUUUGAGAGGUGCCUCCGGCUGGGGUUCCACGGCAGAGGGAAGCUGCCCAGGCAGCGGGGGACUGUCAGGAGGGGACAGCGAUUAGAGAACGAGAACCCCCUUUAUCUUUAGGCACGGGGCCAAGAUGUGCCGGCUCUCCCCUGACGCGGGCACACCCGUGAGAUGCCAGGCCUGGCUCCGCCUUGGACACCUCCCUGAGGCAGAUGGUGCCGGAGGAAGCCGGGAAGACAGUCUGAACCUCGCCGCCUCCCCUUCCCCAGCCCCCCUUUUAAAACACAUACACACACCCUUAAAAUUGGGUUGCUAGUGACAACCUGGCAUAUCAUCUUCUUUUUAUAUUAUUCUUAGCCCCUCUGUUGCCAUAGCAACCGAACAAUGCUUUUAAAUAUAGCAGUUAAAUUUUUCAGCUCCAGAAACAAAGUUCUGGUCCUGUCCAGAAGGCUGACAACUGGUUUCUCUCCUUGGGGUGGAACCCUCUAGACUCGUCUCACCGGACGUGUGAGCUGGGGCUGGUUGUCUUCAGGCUGGUAGGGACCCUCCCUCUGUGCUCGCUGCUGAGCUCCCGAGUUCGGGCGUCGCAGCCAGAACCGAGCGAGGUUCUUUCUGCAUCCGCCCAGCCCCUGAAGCCCUGGAUUCUCCUCCCUGAGCCUCAGUUUCUUUAUCUGGGUAAUGGGCGUGAGGGUAUCUGCCUCACAGAUUUCUGGGGUGCUUAAAAGGAGCUAAAGAAGCUGAAGGUGACCCCUGGGAGACAGCGACCCCAUCCCCGCGUCUUUCCCUCCCUGCCUCCCUCCCCUCCCCCAUCCCUCUCCUUCCCUCUCCCUUUUCUGUCCUUACCUCCCUCUCUCUUUGGCAUUUUUCUCACUCCCUCCUCCCCAUUGCUUUGAAUUAUUGAUGUUAAAUUCCCAGCCAGUAGCAUCAGAGGGUUAAAAUCCAUAGCCAGCCUUCCUCUGGCCUCCCUGCUUCCCCCAUCGACCCUCCCUCCGUGAGCUGGUGAGCUCAUCAGAGGCAUUAAUCAUACAUCAUGGCUUGAGAACCCAGGGCCCUGAGGUCCAGCCGCUGAGCAACCCCCCGGGCAGGAGACAGUCGGCCGGCAGGAUGUCUUCGGGAAGGGCCGGGCUGGCUCUGAAGCCUUGGGCAGCGUCGACAUUAGUGGGAGCUUAUCUGGGAAGGGGAGCUGACUGCCUGUGGAGGGGCUCCAUCAGAGGGCGGGAGAACUUCCUGGCCCAGCGACUAGAGGUGUCAUUUCCAGGUGCCCUCAGCUCCCCCCUCGCUGCCACCUUCAUCCCGCACCCCCCCCCCAACCCCGGACCCUCCCUGAGGCUUGCUCGCCACCCACUCAUCUCUCUGCAUCCCAGAGCCCGGCAUCCCAGCUUGACAGGCCUUCAAACAGCAGGCAGCACAGUUUCUAAUGCUCAGAAGCAGUCAAAACAUGGCAGGGACGGCCCAGCAGGUCGUGAGCUCCCUGUCACUGGAGGGGUCACCUAGAGGAGGGUGCCUGGGGGGCAGGACAUUGUGGGAAGGAUUGUAGUGCCAGGUUACAAGUGGAAUAAACUCUGGCCUCAGCCUAUGAUUCUAUAACGGAAACAAUGAUAUUAAAAUCAUAUAAUUUUGCAGAAGCUUGAGCACUGGUUUUUAUCCUUAUUC
rnacentral:lncRNA from 1 species